rnacentral:rRNA from 1 species
UACGUAGGGUGCGAGCGUUGUUCGGAAUUACUGGGCGUAAAGGGCGCGCAGGCGGUUCUUCAAGUCAGAUGUGAAAGCCCCGGGCUCAACCUGGGAAUAGCAUUUGGGACUGGGGAACUAGAGUUCGGGAGAGGUGGGUGGAAUUCCCAGUGUAGAGGUGAAAUGCGCAGAUAUCAGGAAGAACACCCGUGGCGAAAGCGGCUCUCUGGAACGUUACUGACACUGAGGCGCGAAAGCGUGGGGAGCGAACAGG